UCUCUCAUUUUUAUGGAAAAAAUGAAUCAAGGUUGGGAAUAAUAUGGUACAAGUAUGUGCUGAUGUCGUGUCUGACUAUAAAAGGAAGUAGAGGUUCCUUUUGUUUACAAAAGCCGGUUAUUUUAACUUGCUUUUGCUGUUCCUUUUCAGGUAUUUAUCCAUGGUAAGAAGGAUGGCAUGAUCCGUCCAGGCACAACAAAACCAUGUGCAUAUACGCAGUGCAGGCAUAUGCAUAUCGGGGACAUGAGAUGGAUGUUCAGAUGCGAGUAAUCAAGCAGUCAUGAUGUCCUCUCUUGCGAUCCCUCCAACGAGCUCCAUUGCGAAGUCCACUACGCGUCUCACUCUGGUGUCCACCGUGCUCCGUCAGGAACUCCACUACAACUUCACCUCACGCAAUUCAGUACUCAGCCACGACGACAGCCGGACUUAACUACCAUAACAGUGCCCACAAGCAGCAUGGCAACAAGCUGGGUGUUCUUGCGGCUGCCUCCCGCUGUUGUUAUUACAAGUGCAAUUCAGGCUCUUCAUUUCAUUUGGAUGAAGCAACCGAACACAAGUGCAACCGGAAUAAAGAUGUGGAGAUGAAGAACUCAUUUUUUCUAAUCCAUGGAGUCCAUUUCUCCUAAAUUUUGAAGUUCACAUCUCCUGCUAAUUGGAGCUAGGUACUUGAGAAGUAUCCACUCGCAUCGUCUGAGCAUUACAUGCAUAUACAGCAGGGCCUACCUAAGCACCGCCAUCUCGACGAGGCGAUGCUGCAGAGGACAAGGACAUAAACGUGGUGCCAGCCCUGCCCUUCUUCUGGCUAGUGGACGCGGCUUGGCGGUCCCUCGAUGGCCAUGGUGUAGUCAAGCCCGACUGUCAUGCGGCGGGUGAGUCCGCUCCAGGAGAAUCACCAGGACGGACACAUUGUAGGCUGAGUGAAGUUUACUGAUACUAAUUCGAGGAGUUAACUUGUCCUAAUCGUGAAGUUCACGUCUCCUAAUACUUCAUUGUAGACUAUUCCUGCUAGAUGG